CAAGAGAUGAUGAAUCAUUUGGGAGGUUGGUAAAUGAUGAACACAGACGGCCAAACUGUAAAAUUAAAAGGAUUGAUGUGGAAGGAAAGCCACACCUCUGUUUGUUUGCUGUGGAAGACAUUCAAGAAGGAGAAGAAAUAAAUUAUGAUUAUGGAGUUAAUGACUGUCCAUGGAGAACACAAAUGAACGGCAUUAAGGAGAGUGAUUUGGGAAUAGAGACCUCUUAUUCCUCCAUGAUUAUGGAUCAGAUGGAGAAUGUUGCAUGUCAAAACAACUCUCAACAGAUGGCCGCCUUUGAGGACUGUGAUUUGGCUUUAGAGACCUCUCAUCCCUCCAUGACCGUUGAUCAGUUAGAGAUUGCUGCUGUUCCAAACAAUACACAACAGAUGACCACCAUUAAUGACAGUGCCUCGGCUUCAGAGACCUCUCAUCCUUCCAUGAGUAUGGAUCAGACUGAGAUCUCUACUUGUCCAAACAACACUUAACAGAUGACCACCAUUAAUGACAGUGCGUCGGCUUCAGAGACGUCUCAUCCUUCCAUGAGUAUGGAUCAGACUGAGAUCUCUACUUGUCCAAACAACACUGAACAG